CUCAAAAACUAGUCUCAGUUCGGAUUGUAGGCUGAAACUCGCCUACAUGAAGCUGGAGUUGCUAGUAAUCGCGAAUCAGCAUGUCGCGGUGAAUACGUUCCCGGGCCUUGUACACACCGCCCGUCACACCAUGAGAGUUGGCAAUACCCAACGUACGUGAUCUAACCCGCAAGGGAGGAAGCGUCCUAAGGUAGGGUCAGCGAUUGGGGUGAAGUCGUAACAAGGUAGC
rnacentral:rRNA from 1 species